rnacentral:rRNA from 1 species
UGCCGCUUGCGAGGGCGUAUGGUGGAUGCCUUGGCAGACAGUACCGAUGAAGGACGUUUGAGGAUGCGAUAAUCCUAGGGGAGCCUCCAACAUGGCUUUGAUCCUAGGGUCUCCGAAUGGGGGAACCCGCCGGCCGUCAUGGGCCGGCACCGCACAUUGUUGCGGGGGGUACGCAGGGAAGUGAAACAUCUCAGUACCUGCAGGAAGGGAUACUCCGUGAGUAGUGGCGAGCGAAAGCGGAUCAGACCAAACCGGUUGCGCGUGAUACCCGUCGGGGGUUGCGUUGCCGGUGUCGUGGGAUCACGUGUCCCGGUUCCGACGGGCCGGGCGGGAGUCAUAAAACGGCUUGCCAGGGGAACAGGCUUGAAGGCCUGGCCGUAGAGGGUGCCAGCCCCGUACCUGGACGUGAGCCGUCUUCCGAUCGUGUUGUCCCAAGUAGCGCGGGCCUCGUGGAAUCCCGCGUGAAUCAGCCCAGACCGUUGGGUAAGUCUAAGCAUACCUGUCUGACCGAUAGCGUACCAGUACCGUGAGGGAAAGGUGAAAAGCACCCCGGGAGGGGAGUGAAACAGUUCCUGAAACCGUGCGCCCACAAACCGUCGGAGCCUCUGUGUGGGGUGACGGCGUGCCUAUCGAAAAAUGAGUCUGCGAGUCAGUGGCAUGUGGCGAGCAUAAGCCGUGUGGCGUAUGCGUAGCGAAAGCGAGUCUUAAAAGGCGUUUUUAGUCGCUUGUCCUGGACCCGAAGCGGGAUGAUCUAGCCCUGGGCAGGUUGAAGCGCGGGUAAGACCGCGUGGAGGACCGAACCCACCUGGGUUGAAAACCGGGGGGAUGACCUGGGGCUAGGGGUGAAAGGCCAAUCAAAUUCCGUGAUAGCUGGUUCUCUCCGAAAUGCAUUUAGGUGCAGCGUCGGUCGAUUGCGUCGCGGGGGUAGAGCUACCGGAUGCUUGCGGGCCCUUGUUGGGUACCAACAGCAGCCGAACUCCGAAUACCGUUGACGUGUAUUCCGGCAGUGAGUCGGCGGGGGAUAAGCUCCGUCGUCGAGAGGGAGACAGCCCAGACCGUCGUCUAAGGUCCCGAAGCGUGUGCUAAGUGGGAAAGGAUGUGGAGUCGCAUAGACAGCCAGGAGGUUGGCUCAGAAGCAGCCAUCCUUGAAAGAGUGCGUAACAGCUCACUGGUCUAGUGGUUCCGCGCCGACAAUGUAGCGGGGCUCAAGCACACCACCGAAGACGCGGCAGCAAUCUUCAUGGUUGCUGGGUAGGAGAGCGUCCUGCAUGGGGCGAAGCGGCCGGGUAACCGUGCCGUGGACCGUGUGGGAGUGAGAAUGCAGACAUGAGUAGCGAGAGACGGGUGAGGAUCCCGUCCGCUGGAUGACCAAGGGUUCCGGGGCCACGUUCGUCGUCCCCGGGUGAGUCGGGUCCUAAGGCGAGGCCGACAGGCGUAGUCGAAUGGAUGAACGGGUGGAUAUUCCCGUACCGACCAUGGACCGGCAAAACCGAGACGGUGAGUACUAACCUCCGCCUCGUGGUGGUUCCUUCCUUCGGGUUGGUUCCGCCGCGUGGUGUUGGGAGCGUAGCCGCAGUAGGUCAGCGCAGGGGUGACACGGAAUGGGAGCCGGCCGCGGAGGUGGUUUUCCGUGGUCAAGCACGCAGCCAGUCAUGUAGGCAAAUCCGCAUGGCGCGCAUGGCGAGGUGUGAUGAUGGGAGCCUUUUGGGCUCGAUAUCCGGUUGUCCAGGCCGUCGAGAAAAGCCUCGGCGUGAGGGCCAUGGCCGCCCGUACCCCAAACCGACACUGGUGGUCAGGUAGAGAAUACCAAGGCGAUCGAGCGAAUCCUGGUCAAGGAACUCGGCAAAUCACUCCCGUGCCUUCGGUAUAAGGGAGACCCACUGGGGUGAAGGACCUUGCGUCCGGAGCUUUGGUGGGUGGCACAGACCAGGGGGUAGCGACUGUUUACCAAAAACACAGGUGCAUGCGAAGGCGAAAGCCGCUGUAUAUGCACUGACGCCUGCCCGGUGCCGGAAGGUUAAGAGGAUCCGUCAGCCUUCGGGUGAAGCGGUGAAUUCAAGCCCCGGUAAACGGCGGUGGUAACUAUAACCAUCCUAAGGUAGCGAAAUUCCUUGUCGGGUAAGUUCCGACCUGCACGAAUGGCGUAA